UACGGGGGGGGCAAGCGUUGUUUGGAAUUACUGGGCGUAAAGGGCGCGUAGGCGGCUUUUCAAGUGACGGGUGAAAUCCCUCGGCUUAACCGAGGAACUGCCUGUCAGACUGGAAGGCUUGAGACCGGGAGAGGUGAGUGGAAUUCCCAGUGUAGCGGUGAAAUGCGUAGAUAUUGGGGGGAACACCAGUGGCGAAGGCGGCUCACUGGACCGGAACUGACGCUGAGGCGCGAAAGCGUGGGGAGCAAACAGG
rnacentral:rRNA from 1 species